UAACUAAUGACGAGGAUCAAGGACAAACAAUUCAUGAUGCUUUUUAUAUUACAAAGAGUUUACAGCUACAAAGAGAGUUUCUGGUAAGACAUGUACAACUAGAAGAGAUCAAAAGAAAAAGAACAACAGUUCAGAUUUCACGCAGAAAAAGAACAUUCAAAUAUAAGCUCUCAAAUGCAGGCAGUAAAACGCGUGUAUGCAGAAUUAUGUUUCUAAAUAUUUUGGGCAUUUCGGAAAAGACCUUGAGAACAGCGUUGACCAGAUUGACUGAAGAAGGAACAGUAGCUUUGGAUAAGCGUGAAGGACGAAGUAAAAAACUAGCAGAGCUAGAUAAACAACUAAGAGACUCGGCAUUUGAUCAUAUACUUAGAACAUUGAAAGGCUAGAAUUAGUAAACAACAACUUUGUUUGAGUCCAACAUGUGCACAGGGGCAAGAGGGGUGUGUUGUUUACAAACAUAUUUGACGAUUCUCUGUUGUCAAGUCGAUGCGAAUUUCCAACGGAGGAAAUUUUUUGCUAUAUUUUAACAACCAUUAUAACGGUAAUUUAACUUACUUGUGUUGUAUUUUAUAGGAAAAUUUAAAUUAAAAAAUAUAAAUACUACAAUUAACCUAUUUUAAGAAUAAAUAUAAUAUCCUUAAGCAAAAAAAAACAAAAUUAUUAACAUUCUUAUCCCUAAAACCGUUUCUAAAAAAUUUGAAGCGACAACACCGGAACUUAAGCGCCUGAGCCAUACGCAUAAUGUCAUCUGUCAAACGGCUUUUUGUUUAUGUUCGGGAUUCGUGUAUUUUCUUUAAUUUUUUGGUUUCAAAAGGAAAAAGGCCACAUUUUAGUGUUUUUUUAAAUUGCUAGGAUGGCAAAAACUUAUGUCGUUUGUGCCGCAUCAUGAUAAAAAGGUGAUUCAAGCCGAUCUUUUCACAAGAUUUCUGAUGCACUGGUUAAAAACACAGCAGCCGAUAAUUCAGUUAAUUUACCAAGUGAUUUACCCUUUAAAGCUGCAAGGGUAGUUUUCCUGAAGAGUGCAAAAACUUCUUUAGCUUCCAAAAUGGUAUAUAGUACAAACAGUGAAGGUAAUAUAGACAAAUCUGAUCAUCAUUCAUUCAUCAUCAACAAUAACUGCAUCUGAGAUUAAUAGUUACUGUGGGGUCUAGGUCAACAAUUACUAUUUCCCAUCCAAUCCGUUUUUGUUUAACUGCUACACAUUCCCUGACUCUGCCAAGGAAAAGGUAAAAAUACACUCAAAAUAGACAUCAUUAUAGCACAUUUAAAAAUUAUUGUUCAAUUCUUUCUCUAAGUACAAAUAAGACUUUUAU